UUGAACGCUGGCGGCAUGCCUUACACAUGCAAGUCGAACGGUAGAGGGGCAACCCUUGAGAGUGGCGAACGGGUGAGUAAUAUAUCGGAACGUGCCUAGUCGUGGGGGAUAACGCAGCGAAAGCUGCGCUAAUACCGCAUACGAUCUAUGGAUGAAAGCGGGGGAUCGCAAGACCUCGCGCGAUUGGAGCGGCCGAUAUCAGAUUAGGUAGUUGGUGGGGUAAAAGCCCACCAAGCCGACGAUCUGUAGCUG
rnacentral:rRNA from 1 species